rnacentral:lncRNA from 10 species
CCUGGGCACCUGGUGGGAUUGCAUUCACAGUUCCUCAAAGUGACCAAGUGAUUUGCAUUGAGCAUUGAAAGAUAUCCCCCUGGGGCACCGGCCUAGAACAGAGCAACAAAUAUUUACUAAUUCCAUUAACAGAAGAGAGUUGGAAUUUUUUUUUCCCAAGCGAAUAUCCGAGGCCCCAAGUUCAUGGUGAGCCCUCUCCCCCGCAUGGCCCCCUCUCCCCCCACCUCCUCCCUACACGCCCAGGACUUAUAUAUAGUUCACUCAGUGCCAUUUCCCCAAUUUUUUUCUGAAGUUCAAGACAAGUUGAAGGGUCAAAAAGGCAAAGGGUGUUUUAGAAGUUUAGCAGACAGCUUUUGGUACAAGGAAAAGAGAGGGAGAGCUGGAGAGAGGGAAACAGGGUGAAGAGGCAGGAAUCUGGCUCGCAUUAAGCUGGGAGGUUCCAACCAUUGAUUCGCUCUGGAAUUAUGGCUUAAAAAAAUUGCAAGACAUGGUUUAUUCAUGAGGGUUCUUUUUUUUUCUUAAGUAGCCACCCAAAGUUACACUUUGGUUCACCAAGACGAAGACUCAUCCUUCCUCUCUCUAUGGAUCUUUCAGAUGAAGAAAUUAAGGCUCAGGAGGGAGGAAAAAAAUAAAAGAAAGAAUUGUCCAAGGUCACCAAGGCAUCUGGACUCCCAUAUGUUGAGCUACUUCUGCUUGUGGGGCAGCUGCAAUACAUGAAUUCUUCACUACCUUGUUCCAUGUGAAGCAACCUUUCUGCUCAGAUAUUCCCUGGCCUGCAAUAGAAGCUCCAGUUUGGGCUUUGGAAACUCAAGUCUCAGGUGCAACCAUGGAUACCAGGACCAUAAAGUGCCUUUGUCUUGGGGUCACUUCGAGAAAACAUUGUAGAUCCAGGGGCUCUGAGCUGAAGAGGAAAAACCAUCAUAGUGUUCU